GUAGGUGAACCUGCGGAAGGAUCAUUAACACGUAUCCACGUAUCAACCCCUCUGUGCAACUGACUCAACGUCAGGCUGGUCUAGUCUAUUCGCUCGUAUAGGUCUUAAUGAUGGGAGAUCCCCCUCUCUUCGGGGGGGGGCGAACUCGAGAUCUGAGUGAUUAGGCGUUUUGACGAUUAGCCGCUAUUUUUCCAUCGUUAGGCCCAACAAAAAUUUUUAACCCCUUUGUACUCUUUUGUACUGAACCAAA
rnacentral:misc_RNA from 1 species